rnacentral:RNase_P_RNA from 2 species
CCAGUUGGUCGGAGAACCGCGCUUUAUGUAAGUAAGGUGAGGAAAGUCCGGACUUCACGGAAAUAGGAUGCCGGUUAAUGGCCGGGCAGGGUGACCUGACGGAAAGUGCAACAGAAAACAAACCGCCGAUGGCUCGCAAGAGUACAGGUAAGGGCGAAACGGUGCGGUAAGAGCGCACCACUCGUUCAGUAAUGGACAGGUAUGGCAAACCCCAUCCGAAGCAAGACCAAAUAGGGGUUACACAUGGCGCAUUUCCGCGUCGUAGCCCGGGUAGGUUGCUAGAGAUAUGCGGUAACGUAUAUCGGAGAGGAAUGGUUCUCGUUCCUGUGCGAACAGGGAUACAGAAUCCGGCUUAUAGACCGACUGGCAUU